rnacentral:lncRNA from 1 species
GACAAGAGGAGGGAUCUGGCUGAGAUGUUUAGCAACCAGAUACAGAAGUGUGAUACUGAAGCCAUCAUCUUAUACAGUGCAAGUCAUCCUGGAAGGCUAAGGCCAGGGGAGUCGUGCAAAUGGGCAAAGUCGGGCUAAGAAUUAAAGGCCGGCUUCUUCUCCUUUUAUUUAGUGCCCUUCCUCAUAGCAGCAUGAGGGCGCCAUUUCUAGGAAUGUUAAAUUUCCUUCCAGAAAGCAAAGUGAGGUUUUCUAAUUAUCAAGUAGAGAGAUCCAUCCUUUUGCUAUGAAGUUCCCGAAGCUGGGAUGAAUUUUAAAGACAUCAUUUAUUAUACUGAUGCACAGAAAUAAAAAAUGUAUUUGCAGGUAUAAGUAAUGAAGGAUUGAGACGAGAAGGUAUUGGAUUCAUGUGGGCCCUAAAUCCAGUAGGUGGCCUUUGUGUAAGGAGACUGUAGUGCCCAGAAAGAAGAAGGGAGACACAGAGGAGAGGGCACAGAAAGGGACAGGGAGAGGAGGGUAAACAAAGCAGGGCACACAGGCAGAGGUUACCAGGGAUGUCUCCACGAGCCAAGCAAUGCCAGCAAUUUAGGUGACCGCCAGAGGCUGGGACAGAGGCCCGGAACAGAUGAUCCUCACAGCCCUCAGAAGGAGCCCGCCCUGCUGACACUUCACUUCAGACUUCUGGCCCCGUGCAGGGUGAAAGAAUACAUUUCUAUUGUUUUCAGCCACCUACUGUGUGUGGGCAGCCACAGAAAACUAACACAGAAGAUUAAAAAAAAAGAUCAGUUGGGUAAGAUUUGGAUGGGAGGCAGCAUGAGUGGCCGCAGAUGGAGACAUUCCAGAGAGGUUUGAGAAUGAAAAGGAAGAACAAAAGUAGAAAUCAUGAGUGUGCUCCUGCCCUGACCCAGCUGUCUCUGACAUGGCAAUCCAUGCUGUGUGAGAAGGUUCCAGGGAAGACGGAUGCCCUGGGGCACCUGCCGGCCUCAGGUUUGUCUGGAUCCACAGAGGAGAGGGACUCCCAGUCCUUGGCCUUCUCCUCAGGAACACAUGAGUCUGGCUGGGCACAAGACCAAGAGGCAUUUGGCUCUGCUCACGCCACUAAUGUGACACAGGCUAAUGGGAUGAAGGAAUUCAGUUUUUGA